rnacentral:lncRNA from 1 species
AAAUCAAACAUAUCAAAAAAAAUUCUAAGUAUCAAGCCAUAUGUUCACUUCUUCCACCUUGAGUAACUUUUUCUAUGGACUUCAAAUGAGAAUCAUGAUGAAUUUUGAGGUGGAAGUUUGGAAAAUCAAACAUAUCAAAAAAAAUUCUAAGUAUCAAGCCAUAUGUUCACUUCUUCCACCUUGAGUAACUUUUUCUAUGGACUUCAAAUGAGA